rnacentral:lncRNA from 1 species
AGGGGGGAGACAGAGAGGGAAAAAAAGGGGAAGUCCUUAAAGGGUCCCAAAAGGUGGCAAGCAUCGAAACCUAAGGCUAAGGUUUCUGCAGGGAAAGAUGAAAACAUAAAGUCUUUUUAAAGUCUAGGGAGGAACAGUUUUUUUUUGUAUAUAUUAUGUUUGAGAAGCGAGUAACCAAUUCUCUUUUUGAAGGCAAAUAUCCUUUUUUAACUCAAUUAUGGUUGGGAAAAUGCUUUGUGUAACUCGGCGCAUACCUUAAUCAAUACCGACCUGAUUUUCUAUGGACCAUUGGGGUAAGAUGGGCAUGAAAGCCUUUUUAAACCACCUGCCUAUCAUGUACCAUGGGGCAUGACACCUGGUUUGGUGCUCAUCUGAGGUACACACCUGGGUUCACUUAGCCCUACUUUUUAAGAUUGACAUAGUGAUUUUAUAAGAAAAAUUCUUUCCAAAUGCAUAUGUUGAAGAAUUGUAUGAGAUUUGUAUACAGUGCAGUAUUCCGGACCACUCAGCAAGAUAUAAGUGCGGUUCUAUUUUUAUUUCUGACCUGUCAUAGGGUAUAAGUAUGGUUAUAGUUAAAGGUUGCUAAGUUGAAUGUGAUUUAUUUCGAAUUGGAUUUAUGAAUAUGUAUAUGAGUAUUUGAAAGAUAUUGAUUUAUUGGAUUUGAGUUUUAAAAAGUAAUUGAUUAUGUUUUUAUAUUAAUUUAUGAAAAUUUAUAUUUGACUAUUGUAUCUUAUGUUAUUAUAUGAAUUGUGUAGUUAAGAUAUUUAUUACUUAUUAGGUUGUUGAGCUCAUUAUCUUUUCUUUCUUUUUAGAUUCAGAUACUUAGUUGCGAACGUGGGUACUACUCUAGAAGUAAGACUAAAAGCAAGAUCGAUAAUAUCGACAUAGUUUAUACUUAGUAUUAUUAUUAUGAUCUUUUUAUAGACUCAUUUUUUGAGGUUUAAUUGAUGUAAGGCUUUUAAAUUUAUUUGUCAGUUGGGUUUGUUAUUUAACUAAAUUUUGGAUUAUAGUUAUUUAAAUUCCUUCCGAUGUGAUGCAUUUGAUAUCAUAUUAGAAUGGUUGACAUGCUUUAGAGAGAGUUUUCUACGAGUCUACAACAGUUGUUGCAACCUUGGCUUGCAUUUUUUGAAUUAGGGCAUGACAUCGACACUAUCAAUCUCAUUGAUCUGAUGAAUAGCGAGAGAGAGCAGAUGGGAGGGGAGGAGAGAGAGAGAAGAAAGGGUGGUCCCUAAAAGGUUAAGAACCCAAAAGGUGGCAGGCAUCGAAACCUAGGGCUCGGGUUUCUACAAGAAAAGGUGAAAAUGAAGUCUUUCUGUUUAUAAAGUCUAGAGAGCAACAGAUUAUAUAUAUAUAUAUAUAUAUAUUAUGUUUGAGAAACCAAUAACCAAUUCCCUCUUUGAAGGCAAAUAUCCCAUUAACUCAAUUAAGGUUGGGUAAAUGCUUUGUGUAACCUGGUGUGUACCCUAGUUAGUACCUCAACCUGAUUUUCUAUGGAC